rnacentral:lncRNA from 1 species
CGGGAGAUUGAAAAUUCAUUCACUUUAUCUUAGCGCGCAUGACCCUUUUCUCUGCUCAAACUUUUUUCAAACGAAGUUUGACGACCAUCACAUGUAAUCUUUCUUUCAUUAGAUACAAAUGCAUGUUAAUUAACUUUAGGUAUGACUUUCGUUUGUUUUCACCGAUUAUUUUCUUGUUCUUGUCCUUCAUAGGCACAUUCUGCUUUCUCU